GGCAGUGUGGCGUAUUGGUUGGAGCAUUGAAUUAUGGCUCCAGAGACCAGGGUUUGAAUCCCCACUCAACCA